rnacentral:rRNA from 2 species
CCUCAAACAUGCAAGUCUAGGGGGUGUAGCAAUACAUCACCGGCGGACGGGUGCGUAACGCGUGGGAAUGUACCUAUUGGUUCGGAACAACUGCGGGAAACUGCAGCUAAUACCGAAUGUGCCCGAAAGGGGAAAGAUUUAUCGCCAAUGGAUCAGCCCGCGUAGGAUUAGCUAGUUGGUGAGGUAAUGGCUCACCAAGGCUCCGAUCCUUAGCUGUUCUGAGAGGAAGAUCAGCCACACUGGGACUGAGACACGGCCCAGACUCC